rnacentral:tRNA from 1 species
UCGGUAGACGCUACGGACUU